AGUAAUGUCUGGGAAACUGCCUGAUGGAGGGGGGUAACUACUGGAAACGGUAGCUAAUACCGCAUAACGUCGCAAGACCAAAGUGGGGGACCUUCGGGCCUCAUGCCAUCAGAUGUGCCCAGAUGGGAUUAGCUGGUAGGUGGGGUAACGGCUCACCUAGGCGACGAUCCCUAGCUGGUCUGAGAGGAUGACCAGCCACACUGGAACUGAGACACGGUCCAG
rnacentral:rRNA from 1 species